rnacentral:rRNA from 1 species
AGUGAACGCUGGCGGUAGGCCUAACACAUGCAAGUCGAACGGCAGCACAGUAAGAGCUUGCUCUUACGGGUGGCGAGUGGCGGACGGGCGAGGAAUACAUCGGAAUCUACUUUUUCGUGGGGGAUAACGUAGGGAAACUUACGCUAAUACCGCAUACGACCUACGGGUGAAAGCAGGGGAUCUUCGGACCUUGCGCGGUUGAAUGAGCCGAUGUCGGAUUAGCUAGUUGGCGGGGUAAAGGCCCACCAAGGCGACGAUCCGUAGCUGGUCUGAGAGGAUGAUCAGCCACACUGGAACUGAGACACGGUCCAGACUCCUACGGGAGGCAGCAGUGGGGAAUAUUGGACAAUGGGCGCAAGCCUGAUCCAGCCAUACCGCGUGGGUGAAGAAGGCCUUCGGGUUGUAAAGCCCUUUUGUUGGGAAAGAAAAGCAGCAGGUUAAUACCCCGCUGUUCUGACGGUACCCAAAGAAUAAGCACCGGCUAACUUCGU